rnacentral:tRNA from 1 species
AACUUCUUACAAGUGUUUUGAAAACACCUAAAAGAUAAAUAAUCUAGAAGUUU